rnacentral:rRNA from 1 species
AUUGAACGCUGGCGGAAUGCUUUACACAUGCAAGUCGAACGGCAGCACGGGGGCAGCCCUGGUGGCGAGUGGCGAACGGGUGAGUAACACAUCGGAACGUGCCCGGUCGUGGGGGAUAACGUAGCGAAAGUUACGCUAAUACCGCAUACGAUCUGAGGAUGAAAGCGGGGGACCUUCGGGCCUCGCGCGAUCGGAGCGGCCGAUGUCAGAUUAGGUAGUUGGUGGGGUAAAGGCCUACCAAGCCGACGAUCUGUAGCUGGUCUGAGAGGACGACCAGCCACACUGGGACUGAGACACGGCCCAGACUCCUACGGGAGGCAGCAGUGGGGAAUUUUGGACAAUGGGCGCAAGCCUGAUCCAGCCAUUCCGCGUGCAGGACGAAGGCCUUCGGGUUGUAAACUGCUUUUGUACGGAACGAAAAGGCUCUGGCUAAUACCUGGGGCUCAUGACGGUACCGUAAGAAUAAGCACCGGCUAACUACGUG